rnacentral:lncRNA from 1 species
GAUGAAAGGCAUGUUUUAUUUAAAUUAAAGUCAUAUUCAUUCAAGCUCCUCUCUUACAUUACAAGUCACCAUAUACAUUUCUAUAAAGUCUAUUUUACAUCAGAAAAUCCUAAUUUCUAACCUACAGUUAACUUUGAUCAAUUGUUGACUUUUUCAUCAACCAUCCAUCCCUAGGCCCUCAUCAGAAUCUUCAAGCUCUCACUUGGUCUAAUCCAUAUCAUGUUAAAUAAACCUAAACCUAACAUAGUCCAAAACCAUUCAUUCACAAUUAACAUACCACAUCCAAUACAAUUCAAACAAUUCACAUUUCAACUUGUAAUUCAAUACACUUUCCAUACAAAACUCAAUUCUAUAAACCAUUCAAUUCAAUUCCAUGGCCUUUCAAUACAUUCCCAUACAACCAAUACAUUCAAACUUGCCAUUGCAAAUUAAUACAAUACACACUUUCAAUACAACUUUCCAUUAAAAUCCUAUAUUCCAUAAACUACAAUUUUCCAUAACUCAAUCCCAUUCACAAUACACAAAUUCUAUGCUAAACAUUAGUCCUAAAAUUCCCUUUUGAUUCUUCACAACAGCUUCACUUCAAUUUCACAAAGCUCAUGACAAAAAACUCCAAGCUAAGUUUCCACUUGCAAGCUUGUUCAACAGACCAAAUAGCAGGACUCCACAUACAUAAUAGUCCACACAUUGAACCUACAAACAUAUUUCCUACUGACUUUAACAGGGAAAAAUAAUGAAUCACUGCAUACAUGAUAGAAAAUUCAGCAGAUCAAUCCACCCUUCAAAAUUCAAAAUGCAACAGAGCACACAAUUGAAAUGACCUGCAUACUUUCACCAUGCACAUUUUUUACAUGGAGCACACCAAGUGAAGAUCCUGCAUAACGAUUACACCUGUAGAAAUUCAUUCAACAGAUCAUUUAAACUCACUAACAAAAUUCUGCAUAAUUCAGAAAACAAUGCACCCUGCACAAAUUGAAGACCACAAUAACUAACCAACAGAUGCAACAUAGAGAAUCCAAUUAAAACUAACUCAUUUUCACUCAUUCAAACUCUAAUAGAUUUUAUGCAUUUCUACCACAUCGAUGUGAAUUUCAGAUAAAUUCCAUUUCCAUUUCUAAUAUAAAUUUGAAGGACCUAAAAGCUAUAAAUACAUCUCACUCUUCACUCAUUCGAGGAUCACGAUUCAUUUUCACUCUUUUCAGAUUUUUGAGAUUCAAUCUUCAUCUCAGAAACUCUAUUCACCCUCACAUAGAGCUCUCAGAAUAAUCCAUUAAAGCUUCACAUCGAAGCUUCAAUAGAGUAGAGCAUAGCCUUCACUCAAUUCAAUCCCUCUCGAUUACCUUCCAUUACAUCCAUAUCUCAAUUGCAGAAGAAGUUUCAGCAGAAAAAGAGAAUCAAAGGAGGAAGAUAUGAUCAAGAAUUACCUGGUUCAAGUGAUUUCCCGUCGCAACUUCAUUUUCUGCAAUUCAAGUUCGUCGGAACAAAUAUUCAUUUCUGAGGUAAAUACUCUUCUUCUCCGUUUAUCACGAUCUUGUUACCACUGCAUAGACAAUACUUUAGGGGUCAUUAUCCCUAAGAUAUGAUCAUGAAUCUGUGAAUAUUCGUUGUUUAAUUUAUAUUUGAAAGACCUAGGGUUCGUCGUGAGUUCCUCUUCAGAUUGAGCUCUAGGUUGAGAUUCAAUCAAACUUUGUCUGAUUAGUAGCAUUAGCAUGUUGUCACGAUCCCAGUGAUGGUUUUAAUUUGUGCUUUGGUGUUCCACCGUCACCGGAGAUGACCUCCGGCAUGGUGGGUGAUGGUGUCUCGGUGACCUGAGUGUUGAAUUUACAGGUCAGAGGCUACGUGCGUGUUUUUUGGUUUCAAUUUAUUUGAAUUUUCAUUUACAUUUAAUGCUGAACUUCGCAUUGCCUUGUGUUUCGUUUUUAGGGUCAAUUAAUGUGGGCAUUGUGUUGUUUUACUGAAUGCACACCACAUUGCUUCUACGCCCCUGCUUCUUUAGGUGGGCCCUGGUUUGGGCCAUGCGCCUUCUUGGCUUAUUGCACCUCUGUUUGGUUUUAUUUUUGCAUUUUUAUUUCCAUUUUGAUCUUUAAUUUUUGUUUGCUAGUUUUUUUAAUAUUUGUUCAUAAA